AAUAUGGGGGGACCAUCCUCCAAGGCUAAAUACUCCUGACUGACCGAUAGUGAACCAGUACCGUGAGGGAAAGGCGAAAAGAACCCCGGCGAGGGGAGUGAAAAAGAACCUGAAACCGUGUACGUACAAGCAGUGGGAGCACGCUUAGGCGUGUGACUGCGUACCUUUUGUAUAAUGGGUCAGCGACUUAUAUUCUGUAGCAAGGUUAACCGAAUAGGGGAGCCGAAGGGAAACCGAGUCUUAACUGGGCGUUAAGUUGCAGGGUAUAGACCCGAAACCCGGUGAUCUAGCCAUGGGCAGGUUGAAGGUUGGGUAACACUAACUGGAGGACCGAACCGACUAAUGUUGAAAAAUUAGCGGAUGACUUGUGGCUGGGGGUGAAAGGCCAAUCAAACCGGGAGAUAGCUGGUUCUCCCCGAAAGCUAUUUAGGUAGCGCCUCGUGAAUUCAUCUCCGGGGGUAGAGCACUGUUUCGGCAAGGGGGUCAUCCCGACUUACCAACCCGAUGCAAACUGCGAAUACCGGAGAAUGUUAUCACGGGAGACACACGGCGGGUGCUAACGUCCGUCGUGAAGAGGGAAACAACCCAGACCGCCAGCUAAGGUCCCAAAGUCAUGGUUAAGUGGGAAACGAUGUGGGAAGGCCCAGACAGCCAGGAUGUUGGCUUAGAAGCAGCCAUCAUUUAAAGAAAGCGUAAUAGCUCACUGGUCGAGUCGGCCUGCGCGGAAGAUGUAACGGGGCUAAACCAUGCACCGAAGCUGCGGCAGCGACGCUGAUGCGUUGUUGGGUAGGGGAGCGUUCUGUAAGCCUGUGAAGGUGUGCUGUGAGGCAUGCUGGAGGUAUCAGAAGUGCGAAUGCUGACAUAAGUAACGAUAAAGCGGGUGAAAAGCCCGCUCGCCGGAAGACCAAGGGUUCCUGUCCAACGUUAAUCGGGGCAGGGUGAGUCGACCCCUAAGGCGAGGCCGAAAGGCGUAGUCGAUGGGAAACAGGUUAAUAUUCCUGUACUUGGUGUUACUGCGAAGGGGGGACGGAGAAGGCUAUGUUGGCCGGGCGACGGUUGUCCCGGUUUAAGCGUGUAGGCUGGUUUUCCAGGCAAAUCCGGAAAAUCAAGGCUGAGGCGUGAUGACGAGGCACUACGGUGCUGAAGCAACAAAUGCCCUGCUUCCAGGAAAAGCCUCUAAGCAUCAGGUAACAUCAAAUCGUACCCCAAACCGACACAGGUGGUCAGGUAGAGAAUACCAAGGCGCUUGAGAGAACUCGGGUGAAGGAACUAGGCAAAAUGGUGCCGUAACUUCGGGAGAAGGCACGCUGAUAUGUAGGUGAAGUCCCUCGCGGAUGGAGCUGAAAUCAGUCGAAGAUACCAGCUGGCUGCAACUGUUUAUUAAAAACACAGCACUGUGCAAACACGAAAGUGGACGUAUACGGUGUGACGCCUGCCCGGUGCCGGAAGGUUAAUUGAUGGGGUCAGCGCAAGCGAAGCUCUUGAUCGAAGCCCCGGUAAACGGCGGCCGUAACUAUAACGGUCCUAAGGUAGCGAAAUUCCUUGUCGGGUAAGUUCCGACCUGCACGAAUGGCGUAAUGAUGGCCAGGCUGUCUCCACCCGAGACUCAGUGAAAUUGAACUCGCUGUGAAGAUGCAGUGUACCCGCGGCAAGACGGAAAGACCCCGUGAACCUUUACUAUAGCUUGACACUGAACAUUGAGCCUUGAUGUGUAGGAUAGGUGGGAGGCUUUGAAGUGUGG
rnacentral:rRNA from 1 species